rnacentral:SRP_RNA from 1 species
GCCGGGCGUGGUGGCGUGUGCCUGUAAUCCCAGCUACUCAGGAGGCUGAGGCAGGAGAAUCGCUUGAACCCGGGAGGCGGAGGUUUCAGUGAGCUGAGAUUGCACCACUGCACUCCAGCCUGGGUGACAGAGUGAGACUCUGUCUCAA